CCGAUCUGAUGAUGGUAGGGAAUGGAAAAUAUAAGUAGUGGAAGGGUGAAAUUGCCAUAGACCCUAUUGUGAUUGGCUUCCUUGGUUUCGUUGUUACUUGUUUCUUCUUCUUGUUGAUACCCUUAGCUCCACCAUUUCCAUAUCCAGAGCAAUCCCCAAAUUCGUUGCCUGUUGUGUCUUUUGCUUACCCAGAUAAUACUAUAAGGUUAAUGAAGUACAACUAGGUGAUACAAGGAAAAGUAGAAGAAGCAAUGGACUACAUUGAAGACGAUCCAAGGUACCCACCAAAAUCUUAUUCUCUGAAUCGAUCAAAAAAACACCCUUUAUAUCCUCAGCGCCAAACCCCAACUCUUCACUACAACUACGAUUACGAUUACGAUUACGAUUACCUCGACGUUGACGAAGACGGCGACGAGUUGGACGAUGAAUUCCUGGACAAGAACGACAGCAGCUACAACCCUGGAGGCGGCUAUGCUCGCAAGUUUCAACGAAACGAAGAGGCUUUUGAAAGAUACCCAAAGAGGCAAAGGCUGAAAAACCCAGUUUCGAAUUAUGAAUUUGCUCCGAGAAACCCCAGAUUAUUGGCAUAUGGAGAUGGGAAUUCUGCGGUGGAAUGGAGCGAACAUGAGAAAUUUGUUCUUUUGGAGGUGUGGGGUGAUAAGUUCUUGCAAUUGGGAAGGAACAGCCUAAGAUCUGAAGAUUGGGUUGAUGUUGCUGAGAAAGUGUCAGAGACUUCGAAGAUUGAAAGAAAUGAAGCACAGUGUAGGCAAAUGAUGGAUGUUUUGAAGAGGAGGUACAAAAAAGAGAAGGCUAAAGGGGGCAAUUUUAGCAAAUGGGCUUAUUUUAAUAAAAUGGAUAUGUUAAUGAAGCAAGAAUCUGGAACUGUCGGUGGGUUUAGUUUAGCUUGUGGAGUGGAUUCUGGAGAGUACGUUUUUAUGGAUACACGCGUGUAUUUGGAUCGUGCCAAUAUGAAUGAUGAGAUGAGGGAUAGUCCGUGUGAGUCGGAGGAGGAGGAGGAGGAAGAAGAAGGAGGAGGGAGUGCUGGGAAUGAUGGGAUGAAGGGGUUGAGAGUGUUGGCUGAAUCGGUGCAGAAGUUUGGGGAGAUAUAUGGGAAGAUUGAGAGCAGUAAGAGGGAGCAGAUGAUGGAAUUGGAAAGGAUGAGGAUUGAGUUUCAAAUGGAUUUGGAGUUGCAGAAGAAGCAAAUUUUGGAUAGGGCGCAGGCGGAGAUUGCCAAAAUAAGAGAAGAAGAUGAUGAUGAGGAGGAUGAAGACAAUUCUGAUGAUGAUGAUGUUUCUGGAGGGAAUAUCAGCAAAUAAUAUAGGUUAGGAUGGCAGAUAAUUGUGGUUGGCAAAUUUGGACAGUAGAGUACAUGAUUUUGAAGGCCGUGUUCUUGGCAUUUGAAGUUUCUUAUGAAAUUUGAACAAUGUGUGGAGAGAGAACUGCCUUUAAUCAGAGUUUACCAAAAAGCCUAGCUAUGUUGGACUUCCAAGGUUUUUCAGAAUUUAAUGGGUAUGUGUAAGUUUUGUAUUAAAGAUCUCACAUGCAUUUUCUCAUUGUUGGGAUUUCAUUGGUAGCUUAGAUUCUUGUUCAACUGGUUAAAGAUACUGAUAACGAUUUAUGCUGUUCUACAUUUCCUUUUAAGAUGCCACUAUUAUGUAAUCUGCGUAGCCUCGUUGAAUCAAUAGCUAAAAAAGUAAUCUUUUCUGGUGAA